CAGUUGACCAAUUCCCUCCCCAAAAAGGCUAACUUUUUCUAGUUCUAUGGUACACUGUACCAGGUGGGAGGAGGCAACGCUGCUAAGCAACACACAACUCGAGACAGCUGUGAUUUCCAGCUUGUCGUUUUGGCAGUAUACUAACAGCAGUGUCAAAAGCAGUAAUGUCCACAAGCAAGGAACAAGCAGCUAUCAGUAAAGUUCUGAGUUUCCUUCAAGAGUGGGAUCAUGGCAACAAGACGGUGCGCAGCCGCAUGCUGACCGUGUUUGUGACUCAAAACACUGGAAAGACUUGUCCUGAGUUAGAACUGGAAUUCGCACAGGUUGCCAGUCUCUUUCUGGCUCGGCUCACCGCCUGGAUGAGGCUGACCUACAUGUUCGGAACAUGCUUAGGUCUUCAACUGAAAGCAGUUGGAGUGUUCCUCUCUGCAGCUAGCAAUCAUCGUUAUCUCAUAGAGUUCCUGGAGGUUGGAGGGGUCCUAACCCUCCUGGAGAUCUUAGGUCAGAAACAGACCAAGGAGGAGGACAAGGCAGAGGCCAUUCGGCUGCUUCAGAUAGUCUCCAACGCUGGACGCAAGUACAAAGAGCUAAUCUGCGAAAGCUAUGGUGUGAGAGCCAUUGCAGAGUGUCUGGCCAAGUCCAAGACAGAGGGGACCCAAGAGACAGCACGGGCCCUGUUGGAGUCCCUGGCCCAUGGAAACCCCAAAUACCAGAACCAGGUGUACAGAGGUCUGAUUGCCCUGCUGACCUGUAUCUCGCCCAAGGCCCAGCAACUGGUCUUGCAGACCCUCCGCAUAGUACAAGACAUAGUGAAGGAAGCCCACCCCAGCAUCGUGGGACCUCUGUUGAAUUUGUUGAGGUCCCUGCAUUUGGAGGUGCAAUAUGAGGCUAUCGAGCUGAUCACAGAUCUCAGGCAGUAUGAGGUCAGACCGGCGCUGCUCACAGGUCUCGUAGAUCUGCUCAAACCGGCUAUGGAGGGAGUGCAGACAUACAAGAUCCUGGAAGACCCAGAAAUGACCAAGAUGACUGAAUCCCUGCCAGUGUAUGUCCAACAAGCUGCGGCAGCCAAAGCUUUAAGGUUGCUUGCUCAGGGGAGUCAGGAGCUGUCCCAGGAACUGCUUCCUCUCAGAGUGGUGCACCACUUGAUGUAUGCUAUGGGAAACCAGGAGCAUGCUGACGCCCAGAGACAAGCGAGCCUGGCGCUGGAGCAUUUUGUCCGUACAUACCCAGUGGUGGAGGAGCAUGUACGCAGAACCAUGGGUAUCAAUCUGUUUGCAGCCUUCAUGUCAGGUCAAGACCCUGGUGAGGACGACGAGCACGCAAAUGAGCUUCCCUGAGACAGAAACCCACAGUUUCAUCAGCUGUCCGGGUGGCUGGUCUCAGACGAUCUCGCAGGUAAAGAAGCCGGAUGUGGAAGUCCUGGGCUGGUGUGGUUACACAUGGUUUACCUGUCUAGUUUGGAUUUACAUUUAAUUGGUUGUCAACUAACGGGAAUUCGACAUGAAAUCAACAAAAAAUGUCACAAUGUCAUUUGAUUAAGGUUAGAAGUUUGGUGAAAAAAAUAAUGCUCUUAUGUUGAUGACUUUUUGCAAAUCCAAUCAGUUUCCCACGUUGAUCCAAUGUCAUCACUUUGAUUUUUUGGCCAGACUGACUGGCACUGGCUAGAGUGGCAAACUGGUCUGAGCAAGGAUGUGUAUAAACCCUGGACUGUUGAUGCUAUGUAUUGGCUAUUGAGAGGCUUUGAAACCACGGGUCGGCCAUAUUUGCACAUUCCAGUGAAGCACAAACCUGAGACUUUCUACAUGACGAUGGAUGAAAUUCAAGCAGAUAUCCUGCUAUCAAAUAAAGUCAACAUUUCGGAAGUUCUGGAGCACCAGAGCUCAGAAGACUGAACCAGACAAAGUACAGGCAUGCCAUUUUGUAUAAUAAUAGUUUACACUUUAUUUUAAUGUUACAGUCAAAUAAAUCAAUAAAAAUAACAAAAAGUA